CCUCUCUCUUCCCUCCAGACAACAGCUUCCUCCUCCUCCUCCUCCUCCUCUUCUUCUUCUUCUAACUCCUCUUCUUCCUUUUUCUUCUUUUUCUUCUUCCGUUAUGUGUGUGUGUGUUUGUUCUUUUUCCUUCUCCUCCUCCUCCUCUUCCUCCUCCUCCUCUUCUUCUUCUUCCUCCUCCUCUUCUUCCUUUUUCUUCUUCUUCUUCUUCCGUUAUGUGUGUGUGUGUGUGUUUGUUCUUUUUCCUUCUCCUCCUCCUCCUUUUCCUCCUCCUCCUCUUCUUCUUCUUCCUCUUCCUCUUCUUCCUUUUUCUUCUUCUUCUUCUUCCGUUAUGUGUGUGUGUGUGUUUGUUCUUCAUCCUCCUCCUCCUCCUCUUCCUCCUCCUCCUCCUCCUCUUCUUCCUUUUUCUUCUUCUUCUUUUGUUGUGUGGUUUUUUUAUUUUGCUUUCUUCACUCUUCUUCCUCCUCCUCCUCUUCCUCCUCCUCCUCCUCCUCUUCCUCCUCCUCCUUCUUCUCAGUGUGGAAUUCGCCGUCAUCACCACCAGCAGAAGCACCACCACCUCCACCACCACCACCACCACCACCGUCACCACCACCGCCGUCUAUAUGCACCAUCAUCAUCACCAUCACCACCACCACCAUCACCACCACCACCACCACCACCACCAUCACCACCAAGAGGAAAGGUGAAACGGAGAAAAAUUAUUAAGUUCAGGUAUGAGAGGAAGAGGAAGAGGAGGAGGAGGAGGAGAGGAAGAAGAGAGAAGAGCAAAAACGAGAAAAACUAGAGGAUGAAAACAAAAGGAAGAAGAGUUAGACUGUUAGAAGAAGAGGAAGAAGAAGAAGAAGAAGAAGAAGAAGAAGAAGAGGUGUGCCGGGAGGGAGGGACGGCUGGCUGACUGGCUCCCUACAUCCCCUGUCACACAUCUCCAAGCCUCAGCAGACCACCACGUGACCUGCACAGACCCAGGAAGACACAGGGAUGGACUGACUGACUUCACUCUCUGCCUGUCUAGUGUCACACAUUUCCGCCUCACACUUGAAGCUUUCCUGGGAUAUGACGUCCCGGGCUUGGCUGAGGCAGACAGGACAGCAGAGAAAGACCCAACCAAGUGACAGGAGAGAGGAAGACCCAACAAGACCCAAGUGACAGGACAGCAGAGGAAGACCCAAUGAGACCCAACCAAGUGACAGGAGAGUAAGACUGCCCAGAGGAACCACCACCAGCGAGGCAACUGCCCGCCCUCAUCAUCCCCUCCUGACAUGACUCCUCUCCCCCAAGGCUUGAGACCAUGUACAGGCAUCAUCUCAAGCCCUGUGCAGGAUGAGGUCAGGUCAGGAGGGAGGGAUGGGUAUGUCAGUUGCCUCGCUGGGAAUAGAAGGGCAGACUUACCUUACUUCCUGUUCUGUCAAGUGUUGGAGAGUGAGAGGAUGAGAUGACUGGAAGAGGAUCAAUGAGCAAAGAACUGAAGAGAAAGAGGAUUGGAACCCUUGCAACAAUAUACCAUCAAGCUACAUGUAUAAAAGGAGUUGAACACUUUUGGGGAGAAUGAAAGACUCGUUCA